AUUUGAUGAUGUGGGCAACUUGCACACAAUCUCUUGAAUCUCUCCCAAUACUCAUGCAAUGACUCCCCAUUAUACUGCCCAAUGCCAUAAAUAUCUUUUCUAAUGUU